UGGACUUCAAUAAUUUGGAUUCUUGCACUUCACUUGGUGGAAUUAAUAUUAGAAUGUUAGGGUUUGUAAUCCAAGUGAGAAUACCCUAACAUCCUAAUAUUAAUUCCACCAAGUGAAGUGCAAGAAUCCAAAUUAUUGAAG